GAUGAACGCUGACGGCGUGCCUAAUACAUGCAAGUCGAGCGAACUGAUUAGAAGCUUGCUUCUAUGACGUUAGCGGCGGACGGGUGAGUAACACGUGGGCAACCUGCCUGUAAGACUGGGAUAACUUCGGGAAACCGAAGCUAAUACCGGAUAGGAUCUUCUCCUUCAUGGGAGAUGAUUGAAAGAUGGUUUCGGCUAUCACUUACAGAUGGGCCCGCGGUGCAUUAGCUAGUUGGUGAGGUAACGGCUCACCAAGGCAACGAUGCAUAGCCGACCGGAGGGGGUAAUCGGCCACACUGUGACUGAUACACGGCCCAGACUCCUACGGGAGGCAGCAGUAGGGAAUCUUCCGCAAUGGACGAAAGUCUGACGGAGCAGCGCCGCGUGAGUGAUGAAGGCUUUCGGGUCGUAAAACUCUGUUGUUAGGGAAGAACAAGUACGAGAGUAACUGCUCGUACCUUGACGGUACCUAACCAGAAAGCCACGGCUAACUACGUGCCAGCCGCCGCCGUAACAC
rnacentral:rRNA from 1 species